UGGGGAAUUUUGGACAAUGGGGGAAACCCUGAUCCAGCAAUGCCGCGUGAGUGAAGAAGGCCUUCGGGUUGUAAAGCUCUUUUGUUAGGGAAGAAAAGGCGAAGGUUAAUACCCUUUGCUGCUGACGGUACCUAAAGAAUAAGCACCGGCUAACUACGUGCCAGCAGCCGCGGUAAUACGUAGGGUGCAAGCGUUAAUCGGAAUUACUGGGCGUAAAGCGUGCGCAGGCGGUUAUGUAAGACAGAUGUGAAAUGCCCGGGCUUAACCUGGGAAUUGCAUUUGUGACUGCAUAGCUAGAGUGUGUCAGAGGGGGGUAGAAUUCCACGUGUAGCAGUGAAAUGCGUAGAUAUGUGGAGGAAUACCGAUGGCGAAGGCAGCCCCCUGGGAUAACACUGACGCUCAUGUACGAAAGCGUGGGGAGCAAACAGG
rnacentral:rRNA from 1 species